rnacentral:rRNA from 1 species
UACGUAGGGACCGAGCGUUGUCCGGAAUCAUUGGGCGUAAAGAGCGUGUAGGCGGUCCGGUAAGUCCGCUGUGAAAGUCGGGGGCUCAACCCUCGGAUGCCGGUGGAUACUGUCGGGCUUGAGUACGGAAGAGGCGAGUGGAAUUCCUGGUGUAGCGGUGAAAUGCGCAGAUAUCAGGAGGAACACCAAUUGCGAAGGCAGCUCGCUGGGACGUUACUGACGCUGAGACGCGAAAGCGUGGGGAGCAAACAGG